AGAGACUGCGAGCGUUAUUCGGAUUCACUGGGCGUAAAGGGUGCGCAGGCGGCCGAGUGUGUGAGGCGUGAAAGCCCGGGGCUUAACCCCGGAAUUGCACCUCAAACUACACGGCUAGAGCAUUGGAGAGGGUAGCAGAAUUCAUGGUGUAGCAGUGAAAUGCGUAGAUAUCAUGAGGAAUACCAGAGGCGAAGGCGGCUACCUGGACAAUUGCUGACGCUCAGGCACGAAAGCGUGGGGAGCAAAAGGGAUUAGAUACCCCUGUAGUCCACGCCCUAAACGGUGCACACUAGGUCUUGGCGGAUUCGACCCCCCCAGGGCCCAAGCUAACGCGUUAAGUGUGCCGCCUGAGGACUACGGCCGCAAGGCUAAA
rnacentral:rRNA from 1 species